GUGAGGAAUAUUGGUCAAUGGGCGCAAGCCUGAACCAGCCAUGCCGCGUGCAGGAAGACGGUCCUAUGGAUUGUAAACUGCUUUUAUUUGGGAAUAAACUCCGGUACGUGUACCGGCCUGAAGGUACCAAAUGAAUAAGCACCGGCUAACUCCGUGCCAGCAGCCGCGGUAAUACGGAGGGUGCAAGCGUUAUCCGGAAUCAUUGGGUUUAAAGGGUCCGCAGGCGGUCUUAUAAGUCAGUGGUGAAAGCCUACAGCUCAACUGUAGAACUGCCAUUGAUACUGUAGGACUUGAAUUCGAUCGAAGUGGGCGGAAUGUGACAUGUAGCGGUGGAAUGCUUAGAUAUGUCACAGAACACCGAUAGCGAAGGCAGCUCACUAGGUCUGGAUUGACGCUCAGGGACGAAAGCGUGGGGAGCAAACAGGAUUAGAAACCCGAGUAGUCC
rnacentral:rRNA from 1 species